UUUAACGUCACCAACAUAAAAGGGCAAAUCUGUCACGCCAGGAAAAAAAAAAAGGCAAAUGAAGGAAUCAAAGUACCGAACUCAGCUCCACAAGAUCCUUGUAUUUGCUAUCCAUGGCCACGCUAUGUUUUUCAUCCCUCAAUCCUCUAUCCUCUCCUUUUUCUUCUUCUUCCUCCUCUUCAACUAAUCAUUUCCUCCCUCAACUAUCCCUAACAAAGCAAGAUAUUUCCACACUGUCCCGUACCAACAAUUCUAAACGUAGGAAGCUUCUAUAUCACCCCACAAGGCUCAUUCUCCACCCUGUUUUGUUGCUCACCGGUUUUGAUAAGCCCUUAGAUACCCAAACUUUUCUUGCCACUAUCAGUGUUUUGGCUGCCAUUGCACUCUCUCUCUUUCUUGGCCUCAAGGGUGAUCCCGUCCCAUGCGAUCGUUGUGCUGGAAAUGGAGGUACAAAAUGUGUCUUUUGCGAAGAUGGUAAGAUGAAGCAAGAAACGGGCUUGAUCGAUUGUCGGGUGUGUAAAGGUGCAGGUAAGAUUUAGUUAAAGAUCAGAACUCAGGCUUAGCUCCAUUGGUUCUCGUACCCAACCUAUCCUUAAAAGGUGACAUCCUAGCAGGAUUGAUACUUUGCAAGAAAUGCGGAGGUUCUGGAUAUUCAAAACGUUUAUAAGCUGUGGGUUCUGCUUCCAAUGAUCACAAUAUAUUUUUGCUUCCCUAAGGCUAAUUUACCAAUUACCAGUGCUUUUAAUUCAUUCAUCCCAAUCACUUUUUCCUUUUUAUUUUGUGUCCUUUAUCAAUUAAGCAUGCAGUUCUAUAUAUCUAACACUGGAUUUUAUUAACAAAAGUUGUAAAUUUCUAUUGUGAUUAUCUUUUGUUUCAAUAAGUUAGAUGGCUAUGAUGCGGAGUCAUAUCAUAUACAA